rnacentral:rRNA from 1 species
GCCUAUGGUCAGACAGGACUGAUUGCAUGUGAUCUUGGAAGCUAAGCAGGCCUGGGCCCAGUUAGUACCUGGAUAGGAGACUGCCUGGGAAUCCUGGGUGCUGAAGGCC